rnacentral:tRNA from 1 species
GCCGAAGUGGUGGAAUUGGCAUACGCGGCGGACUCAAAAUCCGUUGGAGCUUGCUCCGUGAGGGUUCGACUCCCUCCUUCGGCA